rnacentral:rRNA from 1 species
GUAGGUGGCAAGCGUUGUCCGGAAUUAUUGGGCGUAAAGCGCGCGCAGGCGGUUCUUUAAGUCUGAUGUGAAAGCCCACGGCUCAACCGUGGAGGGUCAUUGGAAACUGGAGAACUUGAGUACAGAAGAGGAAAGCGGAAUUCCACGCGUAGCGGUGAAAUGCGUAGAGAUGUGGAGGAACACCAGUGGCGAAGGCGGCUUUCUGGUCUGUAACUGACGCUGAGGCGCGAAAGCGUGGGGAGCAAACAGGGAUUAGAUACCCUGGUAGUCCACGCCGUAAACGAUGAGUGCUAAGUGUUAGGGGGGUUUCCGCCCCCUUAGUGCUGCAGCUAACGCAUUAAGCACUCCGCCUGGGGAGUACGGCCGCAGGCUG